rnacentral:rRNA from 1 species
UGGGGAAUAUUGCACAAUGGGCGCAAGCCUGAUGCAGCCAUGCCGCGUGUGUGAAGAAGGCCUUCGGGUUGUAAGCACUUUCAGCGAGGAGGAAGGUGGUGAGCUUAAUACGCUCAUCAAUUGACGUUACUCGCAGAAGAAGCACCGGCUAACUCCGUGCCAGCAGCCGCGGUAAUACGGAGGGUGCAAGCGUUAAUCGGAAUUACUGGGCGUAAAGCGCACGCAGGCGGUUUGUUAAGUCAGAUGUGAAAUCCCCGGGCUCAACCUGGGAACUGCAUUUGAAACUGGCAAGCUAGAGUCUCGUAGAGGGGGGUAGAAUUCCAGGUGUAGCGGUGAAAUGCGUAGAGAUCUGGAGGAAUACCGGUGGCGAAGGCGGCCCCCUGGACGAAGACUGACGCUCAGGUGCGAAAGCGUGGGGCAGCAAACAGGAUUAGAUACCCUGGUAGUCCACGCUGUAAACGAUGUCGAUUUGGAGGUUGUGCCCUUGAGGCGUGGCUUCCGGAGCUAACGCGUUAAA